rnacentral:rRNA from 1 species
UACGUAGGGUGCAAGCGUUACUCGGAAUCACUGGGCGUAAAGGGUGCGUAGGCGGCUUGUUAAGUUGGAUGUGAAAUCCCUCAGCUCAACUGAGGAACUGCGUCCAAAACUGACGGGCUUGAGGACGGUAGGGGACAGUGGAACUCCUGGUGGAGCGGUGAAAUGCGUAGAGAUCAGGAGGAACGCCGGUGGCGAAAGAGACUGUCUGGGCCGUAUCUGACGCUGAGGCACGAAAGCCAGGGGAGCAAACGGG